AUUGAACGCUGGCGGCAUGCUUUACACAUGCAAGUCGAACGGUAACAGGCUGCAAGGUGCUGACGCGUGGCGAACGGGCGAGUAAUGCAUCGGAACGUGCCCAGCCGUGGGGGAUAACUACUCGUAAGAGUAGCUAAUACCGCAUCCGAUAUAUGGAUGAAAGCGGGGGACCGCAAGGCCACGCGCGAUUGGAGCGGGCGAUGUUAGAGUAGGUAGUUGGUGGGGUAAAGGGUCACGAAGACAACGAUUUGUAGCUGAUGUGAGAGGACGACGAGCGACACGGGGACGGAGACAGGGCCCAUAGUCCUACGGGAGGCAGCAGUGGGGAAUUUGAGACAAUAGGCGCAAGCCUGAUCCAGCAAUGCCGAGUGCAGGAAGAAGGCCUUCGGGUUGUAAACUGCUUUUGUACGGAACGAAACGGCUCUGGUUAAUACCCGGGGCUAAUGACGGUACCGUAAGAAUAAGCACCGGCUAACUACGUG
rnacentral:rRNA from 1 species